rfam:Oryctes borbonicus contig17398, whole genome shotgun sequence.
UAAAAGGAUUUAUUUUAAAUCCACUUAACUUUUUAAAGAAGUCUCUCU